GGGAGAAUGAUCUUGUGGUUGAGGCACUGGACUAGGAUUCAGAGAUCUGGGUUUAAUUCCUGGUUCUGCCA
rnacentral:tRNA from 1 species